rnacentral:rRNA from 1 species
UACGUAGGGUGCAAGCGUUAAUCGGAAUUACUGGGCGUAAAGCGUGCGCAGGCGGUGAUGUAAGACAGAUGUGAAAUCCCCGGGCUCAACCUGGGAACUGCAUUUGUGACUGCAUCGCUGGAGUGCGGCAGAGGGGGAUGGAAUUCCGCGUGUAGCAGUGAAAUGCGUAGAUAUGCGGAGGAACACCGAUGGCGAAGGCAAUCCCCUGGGCCUGCACUGACGCUCAUGCACGAAAGCGUGGGAGCAAACAGG